UGUUAAUGGAACAAUGCUUGAAGACAGAAUGAUUACUUGUUUCUUAUAUUUUGUAUAUAUCAUU
rfam:Ficedula albicollis isolate OC2 chromosome 4, whole genome shotgun sequence.